rnacentral:rRNA from 1 species
UACGUAGGGUGCAAGCGUUGUCCGGAAUUAUUGGGCGUAAAGAGCUUGUAGGCGGUUUGUCGCGUCUGCUGUGAAAUUUCGGGGCUCAACCCCGAACUUGCAGUGGGUACGGGCAGGCUAGAGUUCGGUAGGGGAGACUGGAAUUCCUGGUGUAGCGGUGAAAUGCGCAGAUAUCAGGAGGAACACCGGUGGCGAAGGCGACUACCUGGCCUGUUCUUGACGCUGAGGCGCGAAAGCUAGGGGAGCAAACGGG